rnacentral:rRNA from 1 species
UACGGGGGGAGCAAGCGUUGUUCGGAAUUACUGGGCGUAAAGGGCGCGUAGGCGGCGUGACAAGUCACUUGUGAAAUCUCUGGGCUUAACCCAGAACGGCCAAGUGAAACUGUUGUGCUAGAGUGCAGAAGGGGCAAUCGGAAUUCUCGGUGUAGCGGUGAAAUGCGUAGAUAUCGAGAGGAACACCAGAGGUGAAGACGGGUUGCUGGGCUGACACUGACGCUGAGGCGCGAAAGCCAGGGGAGCAAACGGG